GGGGAAUAUUGCACAAUGGGGGAAACCCUGAUGCAGCAACGCCGCGUGAAGGAUGAAGGUUUUCGGAUUGUAAACUUCUUUAGUCAGGGACGAAGAAAGUGACGGUACCUGAAGAAUAAGCCACGGCUAACUACGUGCCAGCAGCCGCGGUAAUACGUAGGUGGCGAGCGUUGUCCGGAAUUACUGGGUGUAAAGGGCGUGUAGGCGGGAAUGUAAGUCAGAUGUGAAAUCCCAGGGCUUAACCCUGGAGCUGCAUCUGAAACUAUGUUUCUUGAGUGUCGGAGAGNAAAGCGGAAUUCCUAGUGUAGCGGUGAAAUGCGUAGAUAUUAGGAGGAACACCAGUUGCGAAGGCGGCUUUCUGGACGAUAACUGACGCUGAGGCGCGAAAGCGUGGGGAGCAAACA
rnacentral:rRNA from 1 species